rnacentral:rRNA from 1 species
UACGAAGGGGGCUAGCGUUGUUCGGAAUUACUGGGCGUAAAGGGCGCGUAGGCGGCUGUGCAAGUCAGGUGUGAAAGCCCUGGGCUCAACCCAGGAUGUGCACUUGAUACUGCGCGGCUAGAGUGUCGGAGAGGAUGGUGGAAUUCCCAGUGUAGAGGUGAAAUUCGUGAGAUAUUGGGAAGAACACCGGUGGCGAAGGCGACCAUCUGGACGACAACUGACGCUGAGGCGCGAAAGCG